CCGUCGAUGCUCCGACCUCCUCUUCCCACCGCCCUCCCUCCGCAGGCUCUCUCUCGCAAUUCCUGAUGGAGAGGUUGACGGCGGCGCGGCCGCCAUCUCCACAUCGGGAUCAGCGCCGCCGCUCGCAGUUCCUCCAUCCAGAUCGGCGCCCCAGCUCACAGUUCCUCAAUUGACAUCGGCGCCCCCGCUCGCAGUUCUUGAUGGAGUGGCCGACGGCGGCGCCGCCGUCAUCUCCACAUCUGGACCUACAAAGGAUCUCUGCAAUCGGGACAUACAAAGGAUCUCCAAGAACAAAGGAUCUCUGCCAUCUUCAGAAAUCACUGCAGCUGCAAAUCAAGCUUCGUGUUGGGAGUUCUACCAUGUGGAAGAAUCUAAACUCCACGAGAUCACUGCCAGAGUGCGGAGUGUGCUGCACAAACCAUGGUGCUAAGUUAUACUAAUAAUUAGACUGAUUAUUGGAGUGCUAUGCAGACAGGAUUUCUUGCAAUCAACCUUAUUUUGUAGUGUCCAAAAUUCCAAUAUUUGUAAGAUUGCAUGGUACUUUGUUA